CUUCCGGGCUGGGUGUUUGUUGGACUGGGGAAGGGAGGCGGCGGGUGAAGCGCACGUAGAGCGGGGGGAGCGGCGCUGCCUGUGGAGAUCCGCUGAGGCCGACAGGACUCGCUGGCUGCCGUCCCCGCUGCCGUGCACUGGGUUACAAAAACAACUAACAUACAACCAUGAAAGAUCCAAGUCGCAGCAGUACUAGCCCAAGCAUCAUCAAUGAAGAUGUGAUUAUUAAUGGUCCAUUCUCAUGAAGAUGAUAAUCCAUUUGCUGAGAUACAUGUGGAUGGAAAAUGAAGAGGAAUUCAACAGACAGAUUGAAGAGGAGUUGUGGGUAAGAAGAAUUCAUUGAAAGCUGUUUCCAAGAAAUGCUGGAA